GGGGGAGUUUGGGGAUUUUUGGGGAUUUUUUGGGAAUUUUUUGGGGAUUUUUUGGGGGGUUUUGGGGCUCUAAAAGGGUCAAAAAUGGGGAAAAUCGGCUUUAAAGUCGGAGUUUGGUACUGGUUUGGUACUGGUUUGUACUGGUUUAUACCGGUUUAUACUGGUUUAUACUGGUUUAUACUGGUCCAUACUGGUUUAUACUGGUUUAUAAUGGUUUAUACUGGUCCAUACUGGUUUAUACUGGUCCAUACUGGUUUCUCUGCUCAGGUUCUGGGGCGCUGCCUGCGGCUGCUGUGCCGCCUGCGCUCGCUGGGGGCGCUGCAGCUUUACACCGCUCCAUACUGGUUUAUACUGGUUUAUACUGGUUUCUCCCCACAGGUUCUGGGGCGCUGCCUGCGGCUGCUGUCCCGCCUGCAGCCACUGGGGGCGCUGCAGCUUUACACCGCUCCAUACUGGGUUAUACUGGUUAUACUGGUUUACACCGCUCCAUACUGGUUUAUACUGGUCCAUACUGGUUUAUACUGGUUUAUACUGGUCCCCACAGGUGCUGGGGCGCUGCCUGCGGCUGCUGUCCCGCCUGCGCUCGCUGGGGGCGCUGCAGCUUUACACCGCUCCAUACUGGUUUAUACUGGUUUAUACUGGUCCAUACUGGUUUAUACUGGUUUCUCCCCACAGGUUCUGGGGCGCUGCCUGCAGCUGCUGUCCCGCCUGCGCCCACUGGGGGCGCUGCAGCUUUACACCGCUCCAUACUGGGUUAUACUGGUUUAUACCGGUUUAUACUGGUUUAUACUGGUCCAUACUGGUUUAUACUGGUUUAUACUGGUUUCUCCCCA
rnacentral:lncRNA from 1 species